AAUGUAUAUUGUACUAUGUAUUUGUUUUGCUUCGAUGGCCGCAAGAAAUCAUGAUUGGCCAAAUAAAUUGUAUUCUCUAUCUAUCUAUUUAUGUAUCUCUACCCAAAGUCGAUCAGUCUUUGCGAAGUUGAGUAAAAUUAUUGAAAAAAUUGUAGUAUAGUGUGUAAGUUUUAUUUAUAAGGUUCAGUAAAUAAUAAUAGUAUUUAGCGUAAUACUUAUGGAUUAAAUAGAUAUGGAUUUUGAACUAAGUUUGAUCUAAUGAUCAUUAAAGGGUGGAGUAAUUAUAAACCAUAAAAGUAUAAUUAUUGAAUCAAAAAAAUCGUCACAAAAUAGUACAAGAGAUGAAUUAUUUAUGUCAUGGAAGAGUUGAAUAAAAACUUUGAUAAAUUGGUAUUUUAAUGACAGGCAUUGUAUGAAUUAUUUAGAAACUCAUAAAAGUUUAAUCAGAGAAUAAAAUUUAAUUAAGGAAUUAAUGUUGAGUAUUUUAAUAACUUUAAACUAUGCAUGUCUACUCUUAGCUAUGAUAUUUGUAGUUUUUAAAAUACCUUUGAAGUUGAAGGUUUAAUUGUUAACAAUGAGAGUUAGACCAGAAUUACUAUUACGUAUAAUAAAAAUACUUGGCGAAGUAUCAGGAAUUUGGCCAAUUUUUGAAUCAAAAUUGUGGAUGAGAAUGAUAAAGGAAUUAGUAUGGUUUGUGUCGAUAGUUAAUAUUACAUUGAUAAUAGUUCCUAUGGUAUUACGUAUACACAAAGACAUACACGAAAAUCAACCAUUAAAUGCACUUCAUUCUCUAAGUGCGCUACCGGUGUAUUCAGAACCAUUCGUCAAUCUUAUUAUAUGGAAGUAUAAUAAGAAUCAAAUUCAGGUAAACAACAAACAAAACAAUUUUAAACAGGAAAAAAAUGUGAUGUAUUUUUAUUUAUAGGGAUUAUUAGUGGAAAUGUUUGAUUACAUAAAAUCAGUUAAAGGCAGAGGCAAAGAUGUUUUAAGUAAAUCAAUGAACCAUCAUCUGCCUUUAUAUAUAUUUGUUGUUGUAUUUUGUUCACUGGCGUGUGUUUCUCAUGUAUGCGUUCCAAUUUUUACGCCUCUAAGACUAUUACCUUCUGUAGCUUAUUAUCCAUUUACUAUUGAACCAUAUACAACCACAUAUUACUUAGUUUAUACUCAGCAAGCUAUAGCUAAUUUACAAUGUGGAUUACAUCACACUGUUGCUCCAAUUAUAAUCGCAAUACUACUGUCUUAUGUAACAGCAAAACUAAGAGUACUAUCAUUAGCAUUGAAAAGUGUUGACAAUGUUAAUGAGUUCAAUGAUUGGAUACAACAGCAUCGAGAUUGUUUACGAUACUUUGAGCAACUCGAUGAAACUGUACGUUUCAUCAUUUUUAAAAGCUUUGUUAUUAUAACGGUUUCAGUAAUCUUGACGGGUAUUAAUAUCGUGCAUGCUUCAAGUCUUAUAGAAACAACUAAAUUUUUAUCUAUUGUUAUUACUGGUUGUUUAGCAAUUUAUGUAUACAUUCCACCAGCAGAUGAUUUAUCCGAGCUUGUAAGUUAGACAUAUACUCUAUGUUUUUAUAUAAACUACUUCUAUUGUACCAUUAAAUUAAUGUUUAACAUAUAAUAUUUUAGAGUGAAAAAGUAUCAUGGUCACUAUAUGAGUCAUCAUGGAUCGAUCAACCAAUCGUAAUACGGAAAUCGAUAAUUAUAAUGAUGUGUCGAUCCCAGAAGCCGCUUACUAUUUCUUUCAGGGGUAUCAUACCUGCUUUGAACAAAAAUUUUUAUUCCACAUAUCUGUCAUUUGCCGUAUCCUAUUAUAUGACGUUACGUGUUUUAUUCAAAUAGGACCAUUGUAAUAGAAGAAAACUUUUUACAACUGAAGACAGUAAAUUUUUCUUAUUAAUUGUAUCGAUUUUCAUUUCUCCAUGUACAGAAGUAUUAUGUAAUACUUUCAUUAAUUAAGUUUAAGGCUGAUUUUCCAUAUU